GACGAACGCUGGCGGCGUGCUUAACACAUGCAAGUCGAACGGAGCGAAUGAAAGCUUGCUUUUAUGAGCUUAGUGGCAAACGGGUGAGUAACACGUAGACAACCUGCCGACAGGAUGGGGACAACAUUCCGAAAGGAAUGCUAAUACCGAAUGAAGCGGAGGAGAGGCAUCUCUCUUCCGUGAAAGAUGGCCUCUGAACAUGCUAUCACCUGUCGAUGGGUCUGCGUCUGAUUAGCUGGUUGGUGAGGUAACGGCUCACCAAGGCGACGAUCAGUAGCCGGUCUGAGAGGAUGAACGGCCACAUUGGGACUGAGACACGGCCCAGACUCCUACGGGAGGCAGCAGUGGGGAAUCUUCCGCAAUGGGCGCAAGCCUGACGGAGCAACGCCGCGUGAGUGAAGAAGGUCUUCGGAUCGUAAAGCUCUGUUGACGGGGACGAACGUGCGAGAGGUGAAUAAACUCUUGCAAUGACGGUACCUGUCGAGGAAGCCCGGCU
rnacentral:rRNA from 1 species